rnacentral:rRNA from 1 species
ACGCUCGACACCUACGGGAGCAGCAGUGGGGAAUAUUGCACAAUGGGGGAAACCCUGAUGCAGCGACGCCGCGUGAAGGAAGAAGUGUUUCGGUAUGUAAACUUCUAUCAGCAGGGAAGAAGAUGACGGUACCUGACUAAGAAGCCCCGGCUAACUACGUGCUAGCAGCCGCGGUAAUCUGAGCGGGCUGGCAAGGC